rnacentral:rRNA from 1 species
GAUGAACGCUGGCGGCGUGCCUAAUACAUGCAAGUCGAGCGAACGGACGAGAAGCUUGCUUCUCUGAUGUUAGCGGCGGACGGGUGAGUAACACGUGGAUAACCUACCUAUAAGACUGGGAUAACUUCGGGAAACCGGAGCUAAUACCGGAUGAUAUUUUGAACCGCAUGGUUCAAAAGUGAAAGACGGUCCUGCUGUCACUUAUAGAUGGAUCCGCGCUGCAUUAGCUAGUUGGUAAGGUAACGGCUUACCAAGGCAACGAUGCAUAGCCGACCUGAGAGGGGGAUCGGCCACACUGGAACUGAGACACGGUCCAGACUCCUACGGGAGGCAGCAGUAGGGAAUCUUCCGCAAUGGGCGAAAGCCUGACGGAGCAACGCCGCGUGAGUGAUGAAGGUCUUCGGAUCGUAAAACUCUGUUAUUAGGGAAGAACAUAUGUGUAAGUAACUGUGCACAUCUUGACGGUACCUAAUCAGAAAGCCACGGCUAACUACGUG